UGAGUAAUGAUGACACUAGCAGUCCAGCCUGCAUGGAUGCUGACAUGGAUGCUGUCUCCCAUUCUUACCACUGGAUGGGAAGAAAUGCUAGAUGCAAUCCAGCCAGUCUGUACUCGACUGUCAGUUCCAUCUUCUCAACUCACAGUGUCUUCCAAAGUCCGUGCCACACCACAGCCUGGAACAUCUCCCAAGGUUUCAAAUAAUUCAUCAGUGAAUUCUUCUCAACCUGGUCAAUCAUGUGAACUUAGAAGAUGAUUCCUCCCCAGCUGAUCCUCAGGUGAGACAUCAGCCUUGGCCAUCAUCUACAUCUGGAUUCCUGACCCAGAGAAACUGGAACACUAAGACCCAUUCUUCUUCUCAAGUAUCCAAAAAUAAAGUUGAUCCAAGUAAGAAGUGGACAGCAUAAAAGAUUGUAUGGAAGCUAUAAUGCAUCUACAUCUGCAGUAACUAAUCAUAAAAUGAUUUGUAUGAUCAUUCUUCACAUGAUUAGAAUUACUAUGGGAAAGAAGAAAAAGAAAUGCCUCUCUGGAUGGUGACUAUAACCUAUAGCCUUGCCCAAUAUGACUCAGGAUUUGGUACUGGCUGUGCCUUUCAUGGGAUGCUUACUUAUCCUGGUCGAUGGCCUAAAGCCCAACCGUCCAGCUUAUAUCCAGGGAUAAACUCAGCCUGCGGGGCCUCAGGAAGAAGGUCGUAGCCAUUUCAUUGAGUCCAGGGCAGAAAAGUGGAAGAAAAAUGUGAAUGUGUUAAUUUGAGGACUUUAGCUCUGAGAGGUUUCAGGAUUCAGUCCAAAAUGCAGAAAACAAUAAAAAGCUCAAAAACAAUGGACAAGACUAGAAUCUAACAACAGGUG
rnacentral:lncRNA from 10 species